rnacentral:lncRNA from 1 species
AGGUUUACUAACAGUACCAGGAUAUAAAAAAGGGGGAGGGCCGGUUGGUAGGUCAACUUGGAGUAAUACUUGAAAAAGUAUAUUAACUUAUCAUACAUGCAUGUAUGAAGUUCAAUCGGAAGGCCCCUUUUCCAUAUACAUACAUACUCCUCUGAUUAUAUAAGUGUAACUUGUUGUACUGCAUAAAUCCAUGAUUUGAAAAAUAUCAGGAUGUCAGAAAUACAACCCGAUAGUUUGGGACAAUCAUUUGAUAUUUUCAAUGGGCGGAAGGAUAGGAGGAUAAUCUGAUAUUGAAACAAUACAUGCACUAGCUGUUCAAAGACAUUUUUGUUUGAUAUUUAAUUAAUAUGAAGGAUAUCUUGGUGUGGCGUAGGUAUGAAGUUAGGGGACAGCACUCGUCUGUUUAUAAGGAUUUAUCGUUGUGGUAAACGCAUCAACUCGGAAGUUUCCGAAUGAUACGUUGCUUUCGCCGGGAAAUUUGAAUAUUCUGACACGAAUGCAACUGAAACUUCGUAAGGGUUCUGUUAAUCCACAAAUCAUAAUAUGCAUGUUAUAGAAGAAUCAUUUCGGAAGAAAAUGAGGGCUGUUGUAAGGUAUAUAGUAAUUUAUUCAUAUUUUUAAUUAUUUUUUAUCAAAAGUAGGGAAGGCAAUUCAAGAUGGCGACUUAGAUCCCUUUAGGUUUUUUCAGUAUAUGGAUAUGGAUAGUAAACUGCACAUUGCCAGAAAACAAAGAAAUAGUGAUGGCAACUUUAAAUACGUUAAUAUAGUAAUGCAAAUAGACAGGAAAUAAUAAAAAAAUAAAUUAAAAACAUUGAUUUACAAAAUUUUAAUCUGCUAACCGAG